GCGCAGCAGGCGCGAAUAGUCUACAAUGGACGAAAGUCUGAUAGUGCGACGCCGUGUGUGCGAUUAAUUCCUUCGGGAUGUAAAGCACUUUUCUAUGAGAUAAAAGCUCUUUAGGUUAAUAGCUUAUUGAGACGGAUAUUAUUAUAGGAAUAAGCUCCGGCUAACUCCGUGCCAGCAGCCGCGGUAAUACGGAAGGAGCGAGCGUUGUCCGGAUUUACUAGGCGUAAAGGGCUAGUAGGCGACUAAUUAAGGUUAUAUGUUAAAUCCCACGGCUCAACUGUGGUCCUGCAUGUAAUACUGGUUAGAUAGAGUACUGUAGAGGAAGGCAGAAUUCCUGGAGUAGCUGUGGAAUGCGCAGA
rnacentral:rRNA from 1 species